AACCUAUGAUGAGGGCACCUUCUCAAUAAGUCCUUAUACAUCUCUCAUGCAUCAUAUAGCAUCUCUAAAUCAAUCUGAACAAAGUAAAAGAUAUCAUUCCUCAACUU
rfam:Gossypium raimondii Chr01_contig_993, whole genome shotgun sequence.